GUUCAUAAUACUAUUGUUAUUUUCUCUAUCUAUUAAAAAAAUAGCAAUGAUUGAUAAGCAAAGGGGAGAAAAAAAUUGAUGACAUUUCUCCUCUCUUCCUUUGAUAGUCUCUUGUAUUUUAGUAUUCUAGUAUUUAUAUUAUAUUCCACGAGUGGAUUAAUUUCAUCUUACUUUUAUAUCUGGUUUUAUUGUAAUUUCAUAUACUCUUUAUUUAAUCCAAAUUGCAUAAUAUCCAUCCAUUCAUUUCUCCACCGUUACCUUUUCAGUCGCAUAUAAAUCCCCAACCCUUACACAUGAUAUUAAAAAACUCCUUAUAGUUGACUAGUCCAUUACCAUCAACAUCAGCCUCUUUGAUAAUCUCAUUCACCUCUUCAUGGGUCACGUUUUUUCCAAGAGUUAUUAUGACAUGACGAAGCUCAGCUGCAGAGAAGAAACCAUCUUGGUCCUUGUCAAAAGCUGAGAUUUGUUUAUCAGUAAGUGGAUUAAUCAUUGGAGAAAGAUUUAUCUCUGCAAAAGAGAAAGAAGAUAAGAGGAGAAGGAUGUGUUUGUGAUAUCGAAUAUUUGGUGAAAUAUAAUUGAAUAUGCAUUAAAUUAUUCAAACAUAUGUAUUUAACUUAGAAAAAUAAAUUAUAGGCUAGAGAUUGAUUUACUUGGAAUAGGAGGCGGAGGAACAUGAAUAUCAGCUGCAACUAGAGAAAAGAUAAUAACAAAAAAAACAAGACAGAGAAAUAAAUACGAUUUUGAAUAAGGCAUAUCACUUUUUUACUAUGAAAU
rnacentral:lncRNA from 1 species